CCCUGCCUUUUGUACACACCGCCCGUCGCACCUACCGAUUGAAUGGUCCGGUGAAAUCUUCGGACUGCGACAUUGGCUUGUUCACUCAAGACGUUGUCGCGGGCAGUUGAUUAAACCUUACCAUUUAGAGGAAG
rnacentral:rRNA from 1 species